CCGGACACGCCCCCUCUGCCCUUAUAUGAAACAGGGGGCGUGGCCUUAUGCAAAUAGCCGCCACAAACGUAAAUAGAACGGCCUGAGGAAGGGCUCGUUCCGGGCGCUGUCGCGGGGGUGGUGCGCGCCUCACCCCUCUAACAAACCCCGUCUCCCUCUCCUUCCGGCCCCCGCCCCCUCGCUGAUGUCACGCGCGCAAGCCCUAGCGCGCCUCGCGCGAGUGGUGGGAAAAGGGGGGCGUGGCCGGCGGCUCCCCUUUCUGCCACCAUGUAGGAAAUGGAAUGCGGGGGCGGGGCUGUCGUUGCCUCAACCCGGUCACCUCUGCUGAGAAAGCGGGCUGACGGGCAGGGGUUAGGGUUGGAAAACAGCUGGAAAAUACGGAGCCCUACGGUAGCUGCUGUGCCUCUGAUAUCCGGCGCGCUACCGACCAGCGGUUCGCUUCGCUGAUGGUGCCAGUUGGAAGCUCUUCGGUAGGCCAAGUGAGAGUUCAUCUUAUGAACAAUCAAGACCUUACUGCGAUGAGCAUUCCUUUCCUCUUUUUCUGCCUUACAGUUCCA